GAUGAACGCUGGCGGCGUGCCUAACACAUGCAAGUCGAGCGGCAGCGAGGGGUGCUUGCACCCUGUCGGCGAGCGGCGGACGGCUGAGUAACGCGUGGGAACGUGCCCCAAAGUGAGGAAUAACUGCCCGAAAGGGUAGCUAAUACCGCAUAUUAUCUUCGGAUCAAAGGAUUUAUCCGCUUUGGGAGCGGCUCGCGUCGGAUUAGGUAGUUGGUGAGGUAAUGGCUCACCAAGCCGACGAUCCGUAGCUGGUCUGAGAGGAUGACCAGCCAGACUGGAACUGAGACACGGUCCAGGCUCCUACGGGAGGCAGCAGUGAGGAAUCUUCCACAAUGGGCGAAAGCCUGAUGGAGCAACGCCGCGUGCAGGACGAAGGCCUUCGGGUUGUAAACUGCUUUUAUAAGUGAGGAAUAUGACGGUAACUUAUGAAUAAGGAUCGGCUAACUACGUG
rnacentral:rRNA from 1 species